GAUGAACGCUGGCGGCGUGCCUAAUACAUGCAAGUCGAACGAGUUCUCGUUGAUGAUCGGUGCCUGCACCGAGAUUCAACAUGGAACGAGUGGCGGACGGGUGAGUAACACGUGGGUAACCUGCCCUUAAGUGGGGGAUAACAUUUGGAAACAGAUGCUAAUACCGCAUAGAUCCAAGAACCGCAUGGUUCUUGGCUGAAAGAUGGCGUAAGCUAUCGCUUUUGGAUGGACCCGCGGCGUAUUAGCUAGUUGGUGAGGUAACGGCUCACCAAGGCGAUGAUACGUAGCCGAACUGAGAGGUUGAUCGGCCACAUUGGGACUGAGACACGGCCCAAACUCCUACGGGAGGCAGCAGUAGGGAAUCUUCCACAAUGGACGCAAGUCUGAUGGAGCAACGCCGCGUGAGUGAAGAAGGCUUUCGGGUCGUAAAACUCUGUUGUUGGAGAAGAAUGGUCGGCAGAGUAACUGUUGUCGGCGUGACGGUAUCCAACCAGAAAGCCACGGCUAACUACGUGCCAGCAGCCGCGGUAAUACGUAGGUGGCAAGCGUUAUCCGGAUUUAUUGGGCGUAAAGCGAGCGCAGGCGGUUUUUUAAGUCUGAUGUGAAAGCCCUCGGCUUAACCGAGGAAGCGCAUCGGAAACUGGGAAACUUGAGUGCAGAAGAGGACAGUGGAACUCCAUGUGUAGCGGUGAAAUGCGUAGAUAUAUGGAAGAACACCAGUGGCGAAGGCGGCUGUCUGGUCUGUAACUGACGCUGAGGCUCGAAAGCAUGGGUAGCGAACAGGAUUAGAUACCCUGGUAGUCCAUGCCGUAAACGAUGAAUGCUAGGUGUUGGAGGGUUUCCGCCCUUCAGUGCCGCAGCUAACGCAUUAAGCAUUCCGCCUGGGGAGUACGACCGCAAGGUUGAAACUCAAAGGAAUUGACGGGGGCCCGCACAAGCGGUGGAGCAUGUGGUUUAAUUCGAAGCAACGCGAAGAACCUUACCAGGUCUUGACAUCUUUUGAUCACCUGAGAGAUCAGGUUUCCCCUUCGGGGGCAAAAUGACAGGUGGUGCAUGGUUGUCGUCAGCUCGUGUCGUGAGAUGUUGGGUUAAGUCCCGCAACGAGCGCAACCCUUAUGACUAGUUGCCAGCAUUUAGUUGGGCACUCUAGUAAGACUGCCGGUGACAAACCGGAGGAAGGUGGGGAUGACGUCAAAUCAUCAUGCCCCUUAUGACCUGGGCUACACACGUGCUACAAUGGAUGGUACAACGAGUUGCGAGACCGCGAGGUCAAGCUAAUCUCUUAAAGCCAUUCUCAGUUCGGACUGUAGGCUGCAACUCGCCUACACGAAGUCGGAAUCGCUAGUAAUCGCGGAUCAGCACGCCGCGGUGAAUACGUUCCCGGGCCUUGUACACACCGCCCGUCACACCAUGAGAGUUUGUAACACCCGAAGCCGGUGGCGUAACCCUUUUAGGGAGCGAGCCGUCUAAGGUGGGACAAAUGAUUAGGGUG
rnacentral:rRNA from 2 species